GACGAACGCUGGCGGCGUGCUUAACACAUGCAAGUCGAACGGAAAGACCCUGCUUUUGUGGGGUGCUCGAGUGGCGAACGGGUGAGUAACACGUGAGUAACCUGCCCUUGACUUUGGGAUAACUUCAGGAAACUGGGGCUAAUACCGGAUAGGAGCUCUUGCUGCAUGGUGGGGGUUGGAAAGUUUCGGCGGUUGGGGAUGGACUCGCGGCUUAUCAGCUUGUUGGUGGGGUAGUGGCUUACCAAGGCUUUGACGGGUAGCCGGCAUGAGAGGGGGACCGGCGACAUGGGGACUGAGAGACGGAGCAGACUCCUACGGGAGGCAGCAGUGGGGAAUAUUGCACAGCGGGCGGAAGCCUGAGGCGGCGACGCCGCGUGCGGGAUGACGGCCUUCGGGUUGUAAACCGCUUUCGCCUGUGACGAGGCGUGAGUGACGGUAAUGGGUAAAGAAGCACCGGCUAACUACGUG
rnacentral:rRNA from 1 species